GUCUUCGGUUCUGUUCCACUGAUCCACCAAUACUGUACAGUUUUUAUGACUAUUGCUCUGUUAUACUGCUUGAGGUCAGGAAUGGUGUAUCCCCCAGAAGUUCUUUUAUUGUUGAGUAUAGUUUUCACUAUCCUGCCUUUGUUUUCAUUCCAAAUUAAUUUGCAAAUUGCUCUUUCUAAUUCUAUGAAGAAUUGAGAUGGAAUUUUGAUGGAAAUUGCAUUGAAUCUGUAGAUUGCUGUUGGCAAAAUGGCCAUUUCUACUAUAUUACUCCUAUAUUAAUCCUUGAGUAUGACCGGUCUUUCCAUCUUCUGAGAUCUUCAAUUUCUUUCUUCAGAUACUUAAAAACAGAUCUUUUACACUUGCUUGGUUAGAAUCGUGCCGAGGUAUUUUAUAUGAUUUGGGACUAUUGUGAAGGGUGUCAUUUCCCUAACUUGUUUCUCUGCCUGUUUAUCCUUUGAGUAGAGGAAGGCUACUGAUUUGUUUGAGUUAAUUUUAUACCCAGCCACUUUGCUGAAGUUGUUUAUCCAUGCUUAUCCAGUUGUUCUCCGGUGGAACUUUUGGAGUCACUUAAGUAUACUAUCAUAUCAUCUGCAAAUAGUGAUAUUUUGAUAUUUUCCUUUCCAAUUUGUAUCCCUUUGACCUCCUUUUGUGGUCUGAUUGCUCUUACUAGGACUUCAAAUACUAUAUUGAAUAAGUAGGGAUAGAGUGGGCAACCUUGUCUAGUCCCUGAUUUUAGUUUGAUUGCUUCAAGUUUCUCUCCAUUUAGUUUAACAUUAGCUACUAGUUUGCUGUAUAUUGCUUUUAUUCUUCAGAUCGUAUAAGUCUUUCGCCUCUUUCAGCUUUCUUAUAUGUUUGAAAUUCGCUUAAAAUAAAAUGUUCAGAAGCACACAGCGUGUUUACUCUCUUCUUCCACUUUCAGAUUGGUAGGACCCAAGAUAUGGAAAAUGCCACCCUGCCCAUAGAAGACUCCAGGAGAAGGAGACGAAAAUACUUUCAUGGUGUUAAGAUACAGAAUUUAGGGUUUAAGAUCAAUUAAUUACUCUAGUAUAGAUAGAAGAUAGAAUACCACUUCCUUAUUUCAGCAACCAUCAGCUUGUCCACCCGAUGGUUAUGUAACAUAUGAGUGCGCGUCCCCAUGUAUUUCAUGUCUGUGAGAUCCAUUCCUUACCAUAAAGCAAUUAAAAAGUGAUUCUUGCUGAACAACUAGAAAUAUAGGUAAUUCUCUUGUUCUCUUCAAAAGCCAGGGGUUCUCAACUACUGAAUUACACAAUCCUCCCCAAUCACACUCCCUUUGUCAAAUCUCGAGUCGUUUCUGUUUUCACAACCAGGGAGAUAACCAAAGGGGAUUGCUACUGCCAAGUACACUUCAGUGCAGCGAUAACCAUUCCAGAAAAUUAUUCAGAUAAAGUAUUGGUAGUGUAAAGGUUAAAAAACUUUGAUCUUUUUAAAAAUGUUGGUAUGUCAGAUAAAAAAAAUAAUGGCCUGUAUACUAUGUCAAAGACACAGAAAUGUCAGAUUAUGAGUGCAGAAAGGUGACACAUAAAAAUGGGUUCUUUUACAUAAAAAUAUUUUCUUCAUUCUUGAGAAUUAUAUAUAUAUAUGAAAUAUGUCUCUUAUUCAGCCUCACUGCACCAACUCCUUCCAUGUUCCUUUCAGCACAUUAUCUGCUCAACUUUUAAGCUUGGGGUUUUGUGUUGUGGAAAAAAAGAUUCUUGAGACAUCUCAUGAUGUCUUUCAGACGUCAUUUUAUAGCUAGUACAGUCUGUGACAGUAUUAAGCUAGCAGGUAGAAAAAGUUCUAUAUUGUUUCAAAUGGGAGCAUACGAUAUUAACAGUAUUAUAGUAUUAGUAGUGAUCAUAAGUGAAUUAUAAGUGGAUCCUCCUAACAUUCUAAAGGUGCUGCCACCAGUUGUAAUGCCGUCUGAAUUUCUUUACACAGGGCUGGUGUUCUGUUCCCCUGACUUCUGGAAUCUGAUGGACUGCUUCACAUGCAGUUUCUUUCUAUUUCAUUUGCUAAAUGAGGUUCAGACUGCCUUUUGGAGACGCCAUCUGAUUCUCUACUGAGGACAAGAGUGGGGAACAAUUGUGAAAUCAGGCCUGGUUAAAUUCAGCUUUUCCAGAAGAGCUGACUCCACGACUCUUCUUGGAAAUAGAAUGUGGGGAGAAUUGUAAAGAGCUUUGGAUCAGAGAGGAAGCAACAUGCAUCCUCUGCAGGCCAUUGAAAUAGAAGUGCACAAAAAAGGAAGAACAACGAGUAGAAAGAAAUGCCUGUGCCUGUGAAUGAAAAUGCUUCUCAAGAAUGUCUUACCAGAAGUUGUCUUCACUACUUCAGUGGUAUUCCUCAAUCCAACAAAGGAAAACUGAUACAGCCUCCAUGACCUUGUGUCUCCCACUUCAACAGAACUGCGCUUCCAUUGAUAAACAAUUUCUUCACGAGGAUAACCAUCUACCAGGAGUUGAGAAAGCUCACAUUAAAUAUGACAGUGAGUGACUGGGCAUAGGUAGCAACUACCUUCUUUGAACAAUUUGUAAAUACCAAGGGAGAAAAAAGCUGAAAGUCAUGUGAGUGCCCUGCAGUGGCCUUGAGGAAUUUGCAUAUAAUUCACAGAAAAUUAGCAUAAUUCACAUCACAUCCUGCUAGAAAAGACUGACAGUAGCAAGGUCAAAACUACCUUUAAAAAACUUUUAAUUGCAUGUAAUGUAAACAACAAAGGAUAUCUGAAAUGUUGUACUUGUUCUUUGUAUUAUUUGAGAUAAGAUACAAAAAUACCCAGUGCAAAAUGAAGAUGUGAUAUGUAAAAGAAUGUUUCAUAUUGAACAGUGGCCAAUUGUUCAAGAUUUUGCCAGUCCUGUAGACAUAGGAAACAUUGAAGAAGAUCCAAUAAAGAGGCUUCUCCAAUAGUUAUCCUAAUAUUAUGAUUCUUUACAUUAACAAAUAUCAAGUUAUUCAGUCUCUUGAUUUUUUUUUUAGAUUUUGGUUUGUAAAAUAAGAAAUUUCUAUAUCAGUAGCUCAUGUUGGCUUUGAGUCAAUCAUCUCUUAUAGUCACCUGAUUGCUAGGAUUACACCAGUUGUGUGUGACAGAGACCAAAGAAAACGAAAAAUAUAAUAGUCUUAGGGUGCAGUUUGAAUUCAGUUUUAACGUACAUUGAAAUUUAAAAUUAAAAUCAUUAUGCCCAAAUGCUAAUAGGACCACACAAAAGUGCUUAUGUGAAGAUCUUCAUGAGAACAGCAUUGCACUCACAAUCAGGGUAAAACAGUUAUGAGCACGAAAUCUCUAGCUGUAGAUAACUUAUAGAUAAUUCUUAAUAGAGGCUGUUAUUAUUACUAUACCAUACAACUGAUGGUCACUGUACAUUUCCUGAGUGGAUAAUACUAUUUUUAAUUAACUGGGGAAUGUCCUGUUCCCAGUAGAAUAUGAAUAUAACUAAAAGCAAAGAUUGGCAAUAUAGCUCAGUGGUAGGAUGUGUAUGGGACAAGGUACUGGUUUCAUUCUCUAAUGUGGUCUCAAAAGAAUUGAUGCAUGAAUGAAGAAAUGAUGAGAUAAACAUUACUUCAACCGUCCAGAUAUUAAGAAUGUGAAGGGAGUAUAACCACUGACUAUAAAAUAUGAAAUUCUCUUUGAAGAAAAUAUUCUUUCCUUUAUACUUUUGUUUCUUUUUGGUUAAAUCGGUUUGCUCUUGUAAAAGAGAGCAGAAAAAUGACAUCUACUGAAUUGUUGGGGUCAUGUAACAGGACACGCUGAUAAUGGAAAAAGCAUGGUGCCACCUGGAAACACUCUGAGGAGGUACUUGUAACUGUUUUUUUUUAUGGCAUUAUAUUGUGUGUAGGUUCAGGGGGAAAUUGUCAGUUGCAACCUGGUAGCAUAAAUGUUUCUUGUUCCUGAGUUUUAGCUGACUCAAUAGAAUUGCACCUCUACUUGGUUAAUCUCUCUAAAGGUUAAGGACAUGCCAACUUUAUAACUGAAAACACUCUACUCAAAUAGAUAAACAUGAAAUAAGAUAUAGUGAACAAUUAUAUAUAUAAUAUAUAUAAUCAUCUGAAUAUAUAUUGUGUACAUUAUAUCACUGGAAUUGAUGAAAUAAAGAGAUGAUUAAUUCUCAAUUAAU